UCCGCGCCGCGGCCGCAAGUAUAGCAGGUUUCGUACCUGGUGUUCAUCGCCGUUAAGUCAUCGCUGCUGCCACCCAGGCACGGCUCUCUAUGCCGCCGCUCCCUCCACCCUCUAGGCACUGCCUGCCGUAAGAAUUUUAACUGCGACACUCGCUUCAGCAGGAGAUUUUAUUGGCUGCAGACACACGCAGCAUCUUCUUGCGCUCCUCCUUGAGGUGGAUGGGCAGCUAGCUGGAGAUGACACAGGAUGAUGCGCAUCUUUCGCACGCUGGCUCCAAGAUCUCCGCUGCCAGAUGCAGCAACAAAGCUUCUUUGUACAGACAGCCCUGGACACACUUCCAGCAGCAAUUCUUCUUGCAGGAACUGGUGCAAGAACAGGAUUUAUUCGUGGCACAGGAGCAGUUGGUGUCCACUGGGAGUGGAGGCAGAAGAGAGACCAGAGCGGUGACUUCAACAGAAGUGGAGUAAAUAAAGAUGAUCACAGAACUUGGAAGCUGACGAAAUUAAUUUUGGAAAAGAGCUGGCUUGGAGCAUGACAGAAGAAUUCGAUGGAAAGAGUGCUGGGAGCCCAACUCAAGACUGAUGUGUGCUUGGCAGGCAGUCUACCCCCGAUCUCAGUCCUCCAGCCUUUCGGCCUUUUUUCCUUUUUGGAGACAGAAUUGCAUCAUAUGGCAUCCUACACAGUCCUGCCUCAGUCUCUGCAGUGCUGGGAUUGUAGGCCUAUGCCACCUAGCCUUUCUACAAUACAAACAAAUAUGAAAAGAAGAGGGACUUCUUUGGAAAGGAGUACAGGGACUAUGGAAGAGAUGAAAAGAUAAUAUUGUCAGAAAUUAUGCCGCUUUUGAAGAGAUAAACUGAACUCUUGAUUCUGUGAGGUUAUUAAAGAAUAUUAAUUUUCAAAUCACGGUAAAAUCUUGAUUCAGCAACACAUGAGGAUAAUCAUUGUGUCCAUGGAAACCUUGGGAAGCAGUUGAAAGCCUGGGUAAGGUGUCAAUACUUUUGGGUGAGGUUUCUCAUUUUGAAACAAAAGGAAAGUGGUUCCAUGUGGCAUUUCCAUCCUUCUUCAAUAGAUAGUAUGUGCUUACCUGAGAUUAUUUUAGGUGUUAAGAAAGCCCUGCCCAUGGGGCUGGAGAGAUGGCUCAGCGGUUAAGACCACUGGCUGUUCUUUCAGAAGUCCUCAGUUCAAUUCCCAGCAACCUCAUAGUAGCUCACAACCAUCUGUAAGGGAUCUGAUGUCAUCUUCUGGCACACAAGUAUACAUGCAGACAGAGUACUCAUAUACAUUAAAUAAAUAAAUAAGUCUUAAAAAAAA
rnacentral:lncRNA from 1 species